ACUGCUCAGUAACACGUGGACAACCUGCCCUUAGGUUGGGUAUAAACCCGGAAACUGGGUAUAAUACCCGAUAGGUCUCGAUUGCUGGAAUGCAUCGAGAUUUAAAGCUCCGGCGCCUAAGGAUGGGUCUGCGGCCUAUCAGGUAGUAGUGGGUGUAGCGUACCUAUUAGCCUACGACGGGUACGGGUUGUGAGAGCAAGAGCCCGGAGAUGGAUUCUGAGACACGAAUCCAGGCCCUACGGGGUGCAGCAGGCGCGAAAACUUUACAAUGCUGGCAACAGCGAUAAGGGAACCUCGAGUGCCAGGUUACAAAUCUGGCUGUCGAGAUGCCUAAAAAGCAUUUCAUAGCAAGGGCCGGGCAAGACCGGUGCCAGCCGCCGCGGUAACACCGGCGGCUCGAGUGGUAACCGUUAUUAUUGGGUCUAAAGGGUCUGUAGCCGGCCGGAUAAGUCUCUUGAGAAAUCUGGCAGCUUAACUGUCAGGCUUUCAGGAGAUACUGUCUGGCUCGAGGCCGGGAGAGGUGAGAGGUACUUCAGGGGUAGGGGUGAAAUCUUGUAAUCCUUGAAGGACCACCAGUGGCGAAGGCGUCUCACCAGAACGGACCUGACGGCAAGGGACGAAAGCUAGGGGCACGAACCGGAUUAGAUACCCGGGUAGUCCUAGCCGUAAACGAUACUCGCUAGGUGUCGGCCACGGUGCGACCGUUGUCGGUGCCGUAGGGAAGCCGUGAAGCGAGCCACCUGGGAAGUACGGCCGCAAGGCUGAAACUUAAAGGAAUUGGCGGGGGAGCAC
rnacentral:rRNA from 1 species